rnacentral:tRNA from 1 species
AUUCAAUUAGUUUAACAAAAACAUUAAUUUGUGGAUUUAAAAAUAUAUUUAUAUAUUGAAUA